GACGUAGGGUCCAAGCGUUGUCCGGAUUUACUGGGCGUAAAGAGCGCGUAGGCGGUCUGUUAAGUGAGACGUGAAAUCUCCAGGGCUCAACCCGGAAACUGCUUUUCAUACUGGCAGACUUGAGGGAUGCAGAGGUGAAUGGAAUUCCUGGUGUAGCGGUGAAAUGCGUUGAUAUCAGGAGGAACACCCAUGGCGAAGGCAGUUCACUGGGCAUCAUCUGACGCUGAGGCGCGAAAGCGUGGGUAGCAAACAGG
rnacentral:rRNA from 1 species